rnacentral:rRNA from 1 species
CCUACGGGUGGCUGCAGUGGGGAAUAUUGGACAAUGGGCGCAAGCCUGAUCCAGCCAUGCCGCGUGUGUGAAGAAGGCCUUUUGGUUGUAAAGCACUUUAAGCGAGGAGGAGGCUCCUUUAGUUAAUACCUAAAGAGAGUGGACGUUACUCGCAGAAUAAGCACCGGCUAACUCUGUGCCAGCAGCCGCGGUAAUACAGAGGGUGCGAGCGUUAAUCGGAUUUACUGGGCGUAAAGCGUGCGUAGGCGGCUUUUUAAGUCGGAUGUGAAAUCCCU